rnacentral:miRNA from 1 species
GGGUGGGGAUAGGGAGGAGGAGGUUGGGAAGGAAUGUUGUUUCUAUGUCAAUGAAUCCUCUCAAAUAGAGGAAGACCUUAGUACAUUAAACAAGCACCAAAAAAAUUUAAGGGACAGGGGU